GGAAGGGUGCAGGAGUGGUUGAACUGGCCGCUCUCGAAAAGCGGUAAAUGGCAACAUUUCGAGGGUUCGAAUCCCUCCCCUUCCGCCA
rnacentral:tRNA from 1 species